AGGACAUCUAUGAGGAUGAAGAAGUUGUGUCUGUAGGUGAAGGUAGAACCGUUACUCAGAAGAAGUUACCAACCAAUGCCGAAUGCAAGUCGAAGAGACGCAUGUCUUCACGAUUGAACAAAACCCAAGAUGUUAAGAAGAAAGGUAAAGUUACUUCUGAGAGAAAGGAGAUGGUCAAGAAUAGGACUAAGGGAAAUGCUGCGUUA